CAACAGGGAUUGCCCUAGUAACGGCGAGUGAAGCGGCAACAGCUCAAAUUUGAAAUCUGGCGCAAGCCCGAGUUGUAAUUUGUAGAGGAUGCUUCUGGGUAGCGACCGAUCUAAGUUCCUUGGAACAGGACGUCAUAGAGGGUGAGAAUCCCGUAUGUGACCGGCCCGCACCCUCCACGUAGCUCCUUCGACGAGUCGAGUUGUUUGGGAAUGCAGCUCUAAAUGGGAGGUAAAUUUCUUCUAAAGCUAAAUACCGGCCAGAGACCGAUAGCGCACAAGUAGAGUGAUCGAAAGAUGAAAAGUACUUUGGAAAGAGAGUUAAAAAGCACGUGAAAUUGUUGAAAGGGAAGCGCCUGCAACCAGACUUCGCGGCAGUGUUCCGCCGGUCUUCUGACCGGUUCACUCUCUGUCGCGAGGCCAUCAUCGUCUGGGCCCGCCGGAUAAGACCGGAGGAAUGUAGCUCACCUUCGGGGGAGUGUUAUAGCCUCUGGUGAUGCGGCGAGGCUCGGGCGAGGUCCGCGCUUCGGCAAGGAUGAUGGCGUAAUGGUUGUCGGCGGCCCGUCUUGAAACACGGACCAAGGAGUCUAACAUCUAUGCGAGUGUUCGGGUGUCAAACCCCUACGCGUAAUGAAAGUGAACGGAGGUGGGAACCGCAAGGUGCACCAUCGACCGAUCCUGAUGUCCUCGGAUGGAUUUGAGUAAGAGCAUAGCUGUUGGGACCCGAAAGAUGGUGAACUAUGCCUGAAUAGGGUGAAGCCAGAGGAAACUCUGGUGGAGGCUCGCAGCGGUUCUGACGUGCAAAUCG
rnacentral:rRNA from 1 species